rnacentral:ncRNA from 2 species
UCGCGUUAAGGAUAGUAGUGGAAAUCCUUUUUAUGUCAGUUCGAGUGAAUUUGCUUUGCAAAUUUGUAUCGAGAACACAUAAAAAGAUUGAAACGGAUAGCCUGUUUAAAC